rnacentral:rRNA from 1 species
UAGGGAAUCUUCGGCAAUGGACGAAAGUCUGACCGAGCAACGCCGCGUGAGUGAAGAAGGUUUUCGGAUCGUAAAACUCUGUUGUUAGAGAAGAACAAGGACGUUAGUAACUGAACGUCCCCUGACGGUAUCUAACCAGAAAGCCACGGCUAACUACGUGCCAGCAGCCGCGGUAAUACGUAGGUGGCAAGCGUUGUCCGGAUUUAUUGGGCGUAAAGCGAGCGCAGGCGGUUUCUUAAGUCUGAUGUGAAAGCCCCCGGCUCAACCGGGGAGGGUCAUUGGAAACUGGGAGACUUAAGUGCAGGAGAGGAGAGUGGAAUUCCAUGUGUAGCGGUGAAAUGCGUAGAUAUAUGGAGGAGCACCAGUGGCGAAGGCGGCUCUCUGGUCUGUAACUGACGCUGAGGCUCGAAAGCGUGGGGAGCAAACAGG